AUCAGGCUGUUGAGUCCCAAAUAGGACGAAACACGCGUCAUGGAU
rnacentral:hammerhead_ribozyme from 1 species